rnacentral:rRNA from 1 species
CCUUCGGGGUACACGAGCGGCGAACGGGUGAGUAACACGUGAGCAACCUGCCCCUGACUCCGGGAUAAGCGGUGGAAACGCCGUCUAAUACCGGAUAUGACACACCAUCUCCUGGUGGUGUGUGGAAAGUUUUAUCGGUCAGGGAUGGGCUCGCGGCCUAUCAGCUUGUUGGUGGGGUAAAGGCCUACCAAGGCGAUUACGGGUAGCCGGCCUGAGAGGGCGACCGGCCACACUGGGACUGAGACACGGCCCAGACUCCUGCGGGAGGCAGCAGUGGGGAAUAUUGCACAAUGGGCGAAAGCCUGAUGCAGCGACGCCGCGUGGGGGAUGACGGCCUUCGGGUUGUAAACCUCUUUUACCACCAACGCAGGCCCCGGGUUCUCUCGGGGUUGACGGUAGGUGGGGAAUAAGGACCGGCUAACUACGUGCCAGCAGCCGCGGUAAUACGUAGGGUCCGAGCGUUGUCCGGAAUUAUUGGUCGUAAAGAGCUCGUAGGUGGCG